UCAUUAUGUUUAGGAUUUUUAAGGAGAACGUCUUAACACCAAAGGAUUGUAAAAAUAAAAUCUCUCCAAUAAUUUAUAGUGCAUCUAAUUUAAAUGCUAGAUUAAUGCGGAUUCUAGAUACAUAUUACUAUUGGAUUGGCGCAAAGGCUAUAAGAAUUCAUGCACAAUGUUACGAAAACCUUUUUAAUUCUCUCGUGUUAACAAACUAGGCUGGAUGACGUAGUGGAAAGUAUUUUUUCCUUUGACGUCAUAUGGAAUGAAUUCUUGAACUGAAAUGCUAUAAGACCUCGGUGCACCAAUGUAUAGUUACAGAAUGAGACAACUCUCUUUGUUUUAAGUCU